UACAGAGGAUGCAAGCGUUAUCCGGAAUGAUUGGGCGUAAAGCGUCUGUAGGUGGCUUUUUAAGUCCGCCGUCAAAUCCCAGGGCUCAACUCUGGACAGGCGGUGGAAACUACCAAGCUGGAGUACGGUAGGGGCAGAGGGAAUUUCCGGUGGAGCGGUGAAAUGCGUAGAGAUCGGGAGGAACACCCGUGGCGAAGGCGGCCAUCUGGACCAGUACUGACGCUGAGGCACGAAAGCGUGGGGAGCAAACAGG
rnacentral:rRNA from 1 species